GCUGAUAUGGCCAGUUGGUAGAGCGCAUCCUUGGUAAGGAUGAGGUCCCCAGUUCGACUCUGGGUAUCAGCACCA
rnacentral:tRNA from 1 species